rnacentral:tRNA from 1 species
GGUUGUGGCUCAGUGGUAGAGCACUUGCCUAGCAUGUGUGAGGCCCUGGGUUCGAUCCUCAGCACCA